AUGAUAACACCGCCAUCAUUGCUUUCUCUCACCAUUGACUCUGCCGUUCACAAUCUCUCCGACAUCUCCGAUCUCUCUCCCAUCCCUGAUCACAUCCUCCUCGAUCUCUUCCUCAGAAUAUUGAAAGCAGGAAAACUGACUGAAAAAGUUCUCAAACUGUUUGUAGCAACCGGUAAGGACGAAGUUAUCUCACUUGUUCAGGCAUUGAAUAUUCGACAUAUUGUCACCCCUGUGCUUCCUACCAGAUGUUCUGAGAAAUUCUAA